rnacentral:misc_RNA from 1 species
GGAAGGAUCAUUAUCGAAUAAAUCUGGCGUGGUUGUCGCUGGCUUGUACAAGCAUGUGCACACCCGUCACCUUUAUCUUUCCACCUGUGCACUCUUUGUAGGCUUUGGGAUUAUCUCUCGCGCACUUGUGCUGCGGAUGCGAAGGUUGUUGUGCCCUCACAGGCCGGCUUCCCUCGAAUGUCCCAGGUCUAUGUUUUAUUUAACACACCCCUGAAUGUUUAAAAGAAUGUUGAUUUCAAAGGGCUCUGCCCAUACGAAACUCAAUACAACUUUCAGCAACGGAUCUCUUGGCUCUCGCAUCGAUGAAGAACGCAGCGAAAUGCGAUAAGUAAUGUGAAUUGCAGAAUUCAGUGAAUCAUCGAAUCUUUGAACGCACCUUGCGCUCCUUGGUAUUCCGAGGAGCAUGCCUGUUUGAGUGUCAUUAAAUUCUCAACCUCAUCUGGUUUUUUCUAGAUGAAGGCUUGGAUUUGGGGGUUGUGCAGGCCUUUCUGAGGUCUGCUCCCUUGAAAUGAAUUAGCGGGUCUUUCCCCUCCAUCCCCUUGGUGUGAUAAUUAUCUACGCCUAUGGUGGUGUUGGAGACUUAUGGGACCAGCUUCCAACCGUCCGAAAGGACAACAUGACCAACCUUGACCUCAAAUCAGGUAGGACUACCCGCUGAACUUAAGCAUAUCAAUAAGCGGAGGAAAAGAAACUAACAAGGAUUCCCCUAGUAACUGCGAGUGAAGAGGGAAAAGCUCAAAUUUAAAAUCUGGCGGCAUUCUGUCGUCCGAGUUGUAAUCUAGAGAAGUGUUACCCGCGCCGGACCGUGUAUAAGUCUCCUGGAAUGGAGCGUCAUAGAGGGUGAGAAUCCCGUCUUCGACACGGAUCCCCGGGGCUUUGUGGUGCGCUCUCAACGAGUCGAGUUGUUUGGGAAUGCAGCUCAAAAUGGGUGGUAAAUUCCAUCUAAAGCUAAAUAUUGGCGAGAGACCGAUAGCGAACAAGUACCGUGAGGGAAAGAUGAAAAGAACUUUGGAAAGAGAGUUAAACAGUACGUGAAAUUGCUGAAAGGGAAACGCUUGAAGUCAGUCGCGUCGGCUGGAAAUCAACCUUGCUUUUGCUGGGCGUACUUUCCAGUUGACGGGCCAGCAUCAGUUUUGACCGGUGGAAAAAGGUCAAGGGAAUGUGGCACCUCCGGGUGUGUUAUAGCCCUUGGUCGUAUACAUCGGUUGGGACUGAGGAACUCAGCACGCCGCAAGGCCGGGUCUUCGGACCACGUUCGUGCUUAGGAUGCUGGCAUAAUGGCUUUAAUCGACCCGUCUUGAAACACGGACCAAGGAGUCUAACAUGCUUGCGAGUGUUUGGGUGGAAAACCCGAGCGCGCAAUGAAAGUGAAAGUUGAGAUCCCUGUCGUGGGGAGCAUCGACGCCCGGACCAGACGUUCUCUGACGGAUCCGCGGUAGAGCACGUAUGUUGGGACCCGAAAGAUGGUGAACUAUGCCUGAAUAGGGUGAAGCCAGAGGAAACUCUGGUGGAGGCUCGUAGCGAUUCUGACGUGCAAAUCGAUCGUCAAAUUUGGGUAUAGGGGCGAAAGACUAAUCGAACCAUCUAGUAGCUGGUUCCUGC